UUGGCUCAGGAUGAACGCUGGCGGCGUGCCUAACACAUGCAAGUCGAACGGAGUUAUUUUGACGGAUUCCUUCGGGAUGACGGAUUUUUAACUUAGUGGCGGACGGGUGAGUAACGCGUGAGUAACCUGCCUCUAAGAGGGGAAUAACGUUCUGAAAAGAUCGCUAAUACCGCAUAACAUAUUGAAGCCGCAUGACUUUGAUAUCAAAGAUUUAUCGCUUAGAGAUGGACUCGCGUCCGAUUAGCUUGUUGGCGGGGUAACGGCCCACCAAGGCGACGAUCGGUAGCCGGACUGAGAGGUUGAACGGCCACAUUGGGACUGAGACACGGCCCAGACUCCUACGGGAGGCAGCAGUGGGGAAUA
rnacentral:rRNA from 1 species